AGUUUCGACUCUGGAUACUUCUAGACUCGAUUAUAUAAAUUUUUUCACUAUUCAUACAGUAGUUUGAAUUUAUUUAGAGCCAAAUCUCUCAAACUUUGUAUCCUCCAGUUUUAGGAAACUUGUAAAUUUUGAGUAACAAGAAUCUGAAGAUGCAAGAGAGGCCCCUGCCAGAAAGUUGUUUGCACAGCUUGAUAAGGACGCAAACAGAUACUUGUCGGACAUUGAAUUGGUACCGGUCAUUGGAAAACUUCAUCCAUCAGAGCGUUAUUAUGCAAAACAACAGAAAUGAUUGCAGGCUGAUUCGGAUAAGGAUGGAAAGUUAAGCUUGACAGAAAUGAUAGAUAACCCCUAUGUGUUUUAUAGUGCUAUAUUCAGCGAGGAAGAGGAAGACGACUUUGAGAAUCAUGACGAGUUUCGCUAGUCUUCACACGACACCGACAGAACUUUGGUCUUCUCUAGAAUUUGAAAAAUGUUUGUAGGAUAAAACAGGUACACUAUCAUUCAUCAUUGGCUGUAAAACUUUGAAGACUUGAUACUUAUUUUUAUGUAAGCAAUUUGUAUUCUUAUUUAUUGAAGAAGAAAGCAUGUAUGUGAGUUCA